UUAAAGUGGAAACCAUUGGCAUUCUAUUAUAGAAACUUGCAUCUCAUAAGAGUGUUUCAUACAUUUCAUACAAAAAGAGUAAAGUUUGAUUUGAAUUUGAAUCACAAGUUUGAAUUACAUCACAUAAGCAUUGCAUUACAUUCUUCAUUACAAGCAUAAAAUCAUUUACAUAAACUAAUCGCUUUCCAUUCAAACUAUUACAGUUCACUUCCCAAACCAAUUCACAUACUUACAUCAACCAUACAUUCCAAAUUUACAUAGUUCAAUUGCAAAUUAACAUUUAAAAUUACAACAUGACCAUAAAAACCAAUGAUGCAUUCCAAGCAAUGCACUCCAAUUGCUCAAGCCAUAGUCUCUAAAUCCAUAAUCAGCUCCAUGAUAACAUUGACCCUUAGCCAAUUCCAACAAGCUUCAUAACCAAUGCAAGCCAUCCCGAAGCCCAUUCAAAGCUUUGCAUUAGCCAUUGAAUUCAAGCAAGCAUCCAUCAUACACUUCAAAGCCAAUAAACCAACCUGCAUAAUUGUAACAAAAUUAAUGAGCACAAUUUUCACUUUUCAACUCAACUUCCAACCUUCUAAUUUGACUCCAAACUGAACUCAAUAUCAUUUCCAACUUCUGACUUCACUAACAUAUAAGAACCUUCCCUUUCACUUCCAACUAACUCAGAACCUUCUAAAUUGUUUUCAUCACUCCUAACUGAUUUGUAACAACCUCCAACUAACUUCUAACUGUUUUUCACAAUGCCUAGCCGUUUCUCAACCUCACAACAGAAACUCCAACAGAAAUGAAUUGAGAGGCUAACAGAAUCAGAAACCAUAUAAACUAGGGGUGUUCGUGGUUCAUGAACUGAACUGAACCAAACCACAUUUAUAGUUCAGUUCAGUUUAUAAUAACCAUUUUACAAAAAAUGCAGUUAAUUGCUAAAAUGGUUUCAAUUCAGUUUAAAACUAGUUUAUAACCGGUUUGUAUUUAUAAACACACAUUUAUAGUUCAGUUCAGUUUAUAAUAACCAUUUUACAAAAAAUGCAGUUAAUUGCUAAAAUGGUUUCAAUUCAGUUUAAAACUAGUUUAUAACCGGUUUGUAUUUAUAAACUAGUUUAUAAUCAGUUUGCAAUUAUAAACCAAUUUUAUAAUUUGAACGGUUUCAAAAUCAAUUUUUUUAAUUUCAUAAAAAAUAAUUAAUUUUAAAAAAAUGAAAAUAUUUAUUUUUUAAAAAAAACUUUUAUUUAUAAAAAUUAUUUAAAAUUUUUAUUUUUUUGAAAAAAAACCUGAAUAGAUAUUUUGAAAAUUUCAUGCAAAAAAAAAAUAUUUUAAUUUUAAUUUUUUGGGGAAAAAAAUUCAGAAUAAAUUUUUUUCGAAUUUUAUUUUCGGAAAAAUAAAAAAAAAAUAUUUUAUGUUUAUAUUUCAUAAAAUUUGGGAAAAAAUUUCACUAUAAAAAUAAUUUUAUUCUGAAAUUUUUUUUUUUCAAAAAAAAAAUAUUUUUUCAGAAUUUUUUUAUUUUGGAAAACAAUAAUUUUUUAUUUUUCUGAAAAAAAAAUUAUUUCAAAUUAAAUUAUUUUUUAAUGAAAUAAAAAAAAUUAUUUUCAGAAAAAAAUUAUUUUUUAUUUUAUGGAAUACCAAAUAUUUUAUUUUCAGAUUUUUUUCUAAAAAACUAUAUUUUUUUCUAAAAAACUAUAUUUUUUUUUAUAAUUUUAUUUUAAUUUUUAAUAAAAUAUUUUAAUUUUUCAUAAUUAUAAAUAUUUUUAAUUUCUAUUUUUUUCACUCUCAAUAAUUUUUCCUUUUUAUUUAAAAAAAUUAUAACUAAAACAGUUUAUAAAAGAAAACUAUUAUGAACCGGUUUAAACUGAAUUAUUAAUUGGUUAAUUUAAAUGGUUCAGUUCAUUAACCAUUCAAGUGGUUUAGUUAUUUUAUGGUGCAAUGCAAUUCAGUUUAGACAUGUAAUUUGGUUAACCAUAUUUUUGCACACCCCUAUUAUAAACACAAUACAUUUCACAUUUCAGGGGUGGAACUCUUUUUUUCCACAUUCUCGAUCCAAAACAGCAUAGGAAAGAAGAAGGAGAAAACGCAAGCGAAGAAGAAGGAUGAUUCAAACAAGAAGGAGAAGAUUGAAACGUACCUGGAAAAAUCGAAGCAAGACACGAAUCCGAAAAGGUCGUCUUCAUCUUCAACGGCAACGCAAUACACGGUAGGUCCUCGCUCUUCCAUUGAUUUAUUAUUCGCAUAAAGCUAUGAUUCGGGAUUGGAUUACGACGACAAAGUGGGGCGCGGAUUCAGGGACGUUGUUCGUGAUUCAUGGUCGAGAUCCUUACGCCAUGGAGUAAGAGCGGCGGCGCCGUUUGGUUGCACUGGCUGACCUACAAAUCAUGUUGGAGCGGGACGUUUUUCAAUUGAGAGCAUGGAACCCGAUUUGGAGCUGUUCGAGGGAAUCUGUUGUUGAGAUUCUUGGGCCUUUGGCCCAAGCCAAGUGAAUUUGGGACAAUGCACCCCUCAAUUUUUUUCUAAACCCCCAG
rnacentral:lncRNA from 1 species